CGCAUCUGUGCAUGCAGCAUAUCAAUAAGCGGAGGAAAAGAAACUAACAAGGAUUCCCCUAGUAACGGCGAGUGAAGCGGGAAGAGCUCAAAUUUGAAAUCUUAAAGGGUUUCCCUUUACGAAUUGUAGUUUAAAGAAGUGUUUUCUGUUGAGGUUUUGGUAAAAGUUCUUUGGAAUAGGACAUCAUAGAGGGUGAGAAUCCCGUAUUUGACCUUUACUUUCAACUUUGUGAUACACUUUCAAAGAGUCGGAUUGUUUGGGAAUGCAGUCCAAAAUGGGUGGUAAAUUUCAUCUAAAGCUAAAUAUUGGCGAGAGACCGGUAGCGAACAAGUACCGUGAGGGAAAGAUGAAAAGAACUUUGAAAAGAGAGUUAAACAGUACGUGAAAUUGUCAAAAGGGAAGCGUUUGACACCAGUGUUGUUUUUCUGAAAAUCAAUUAAAGAACUGUUUAUGCUAAGUUGUUUAGACUUUAUCAGCUAACUGUUUAGUUUUGAGCUUCUCUUUAAUGCACUUUUCAGUUAACAAGUCAACAUCAAUUUCUUUUGCUGUAUAAAAGCUUGAGGAAGGUGGCUUGAGAUUCGUCUUAAGUGUUUAUAGCCUCUUGCCUAUGCAGUCGGAGAGAUUUGAGGUCUGCAGCGUAGAUCCUUCGGGGCUAAAUGCAUUUGUGCUAAGUUAUAGCAUUUCAUAGACAACUUGUUGACUAUGAUUUGUCUUGUAGCUUACUCGCUUAUGUUAUUUUACCUACGCUUAGGAUGUUGACAGCAGUAUAGACUGU
rnacentral:rRNA from 1 species